CACGUAGGGGGCGAGCGUUGUCCGGAAUCAUUGGGCGUAAAGAGCUCGUAGGCGGCUCAGUAAGUCGGGUGUGAAACCCCCCAGGCUCAACCUGGGGACGCCACCCGAUACUGCUGUGGCUAGAGUCCAGUAGGGGAGUGUGGAAUUCCCGGUGUAGCGGUGAAAUGCGCAGAUAUCGGGAGGAACACCAGCGGCGAAGGCGGCACUCUGGGCUGGAACCGACGCUGAGGAGCGAAAGCAUGGGGAGCGAACAGG
rnacentral:rRNA from 1 species